GAGCACGUAGGUGGGUUUGUAAGUCAGACGUGAAAGCCUUCUGUUCAACGGAAGAAUUGCAUCUGAAACUACAAACCUUGAGUGUAGGAGGGGAGAAUGGAACUUCUGGUGGAGCGGUGAAAUGCGUAGAUAUCAGAAGGAACGCCGGCGGCGAAAGCGAUUCUCUGGCCUAUUACUGACACUCAGUGUGCGAAAGCUAGGGGAGCAAACGGGAUUAGAUACCCCGGUGGUCCUAGCCGUAAACGAUGGGCACUAAGUAGAGGGGU
rnacentral:rRNA from 1 species